UGAGUUUGAUUCUGGCUCAGGAUGAACGCUGGCGGCGUGCUUAACACAUGCAAGUCGAACGAACCUUCGGGUUAGUGGCGGACGGGUGAGUAACGCGUGAGAAUCUGCCCUCAGGAGGGGGAUAACGGUUGGAAACGACCGCUAAUACCCCAUAUGCCUAUUGGUGAAAUGAAUUUCGCCUGAGGAUGAGCUCGCGUCUAAUUAGCUAGUUGGUGAGGUAAUGGCUCACCAAGGCUUCGAUCAGUAGCUGGUCUGAGAGGAUGAUCAGCCACACUGGAACUGAGACACGGCCCAGACUCCUACGGGAGGCAGCAGUGGGGAAUUUUCCGCAAUGGGCGAAAGCCUGACGGAGCAACGCCGCGUGAGGGACGAAGGCCUUUGGGCUGUAAACCUCUUUUCUCAAGGAAGAAGAUAUGGCGGUACUUGAGGAAUAAGCCACGGCUAAUUCCGUGCCAGCAGCCGCGGUAAUACGGGAGUGGCAAGCGUUAUCCGGAAUUAUUGGGCGUAAAGCGUCCGCAGGCGGCUUUUCAAGUCUGCUGUUAAAACGUGGAGCUUAACUCCAUCAUGGCAGUGGAAACUGAAAGGCUUGAGUAUGGUAGGGGC
rnacentral:rRNA from 1 species